AGGAGGAACAGCCCCAGUUUUGGGUCCACUCUGGAAACCUGGAUUCAGACCCCGCAGUAGCUCCGGAGCUCUCCGUCUGCAGGGCCUGGAGGCUCCGGGGCGGG
rnacentral:pre_miRNA from 1 species